rnacentral:rRNA from 1 species
AUCAGUUGUGUAGCAAUACAUUUCUGGUCCUAGUGGCGCACGGGUGAGUAACACGUGGGUAACCUGCCCUUGAGUUCGGGAUACCCCCUCGAAAGGGGGGCUAAUACCGGAUACGUUCCUCGGAUCGACAGGUCUGGGGAGGAAAGGUGGCGCAAGCUGCCGCUCUUGGAGGGGCUCGCGGCCUAUCAGCUAGUUGGCGGGGUAACGGCCCACCAAGGCUAUGACGGGUAGCUGGUCUGAGAGGACGACCAGUCACACGGGGACUGAGACACGGCCCCGACUCCUACGGGAGGCAGCAGUGGGGAAUUUUCCGCAAUGGGCGAAAGCCUGACGGAGUGACGCCGCGUGUGGGACGAAGGCCUUCGGGUCGUAAACCACUGUCAGUGGGAAAGAAGGGUGUCGGCGCAAAUACCGCCGGCAUUUGACGGUACCUGCAGAGGAAGCCCCGGCCAACUCUGUGCCAGCAGCCGCGGUAAGACAGAGGGGGCAAGCGUUGCUCGGAAUUACUGGGCGUAAAGGGCGCGUAGGCGGGAUGGCAAGUCGGUCGUGAAAUCCUUCGGCUCAACCGAAGAACGUCGAUCGAUACUGCUGUUCUUGAGGAUUGCAGAGGAGACUGGAAUUCCCGGUGUAGCGGUGAAAUGUGUAGAGAUCGGGAGGAACACCGGUGGCGAAGGCGGGUCUCUGGGCAAUUCCUGACGCUGAGGCGCGAAAGCGUGGGGAGCAAACGGGAUUAGAUACCCCGGUAGUCCACGCUGUAAACGAUGACGAUA